GACUUGGGGGUCUCUGAAGAAACAAUCAGCCGCUGCUCUGAAGGAAAGGAGCGAUACCAUUCAGAGCUACUGUAGCGUAAUGUGUUCACUUGGGCAGUAGGAAAACCCUUUAUGAAAAUUAGUUACAGAGCCUGAAACUCCCCCUCCAUCCCCCCGUGUGCCAACCGCAGCCAUUGUGCGCACAGGGCUCAGCGCAGCCCGCCCGCACGAAGUUGGCCCCGCUCCGGCUCGGGAAGCUCCUCCAUGCAGCCCCGGCGCUGGGGAGAGGCGGGAGGCAUCGGCGGGGCCGAAUCGGGGGGAAAGGGAUCCCCGCCUGCUCCCUGCAUCACCCGGGGGUCCGCGCUGCCCGGCAAGCGCGGCCGUGCCCUUGAGAGCGCCUGUGACCUCACGGCAGGGAGAUUUGGUUGUGCCCAGAUACAUCCUGCAGCGGGAAAAAGCCCGGCGCGGAGAUUCUCCUGCCAGAUCCCUCCUUUCUUCCCGCAGAAACUUCUUCCCUAGGCGGCUAUUUUACUAAUUUACAUAUAGCGUUUGCGUUAAGACAGGCAAGUUUCUCUUAAAAAAUACUAAAGAAAAGAAAAAGGCGUCCAGCCGUCACCAAAAGAACCUCGCUCUGCCCCUGGCGCCCGGUGCCGCUCCGCCGCGGCGGGACGUGGGCAGCAGCGGCCCCGCGAUCCGCCCGUGACCAGGGCUGAGAUGCACCGAGCACCGGCGGGUCCCGGUUGGCACGGCCGGGUCAGGAGGGUGGUGGAAACCGAGCAAGUGUGACACCGGCAUUGAUUCGCUCUCUUUGUUCUCGUGUCAUCGGUACACAAUGGAGAGAGAAAGAAACGUGACUUAAAAAUCGCAAUUAACCGGCUUCAGUGCGGGCUUCUUCCGUGGGUUAGUUCUUGUUAUCAAAUCCCAUUCCUUCUCUAAAAAAGCGCUUCCAAUUUUAAAAUAAAACAGACGGUAUAAAAUACUUUCCAUCUUUCUAUUGUAAGAGUUACUUAAAUUACUACUGGAAGUUUCUCACUGGCUCAGUCAGGUCUUGAAAGAACAGCAAUUUUUUUCUACUGUUUUAAAAGUAUUAACUUCCUUUCAAACAUCCCUUAACCUUUAAUGUUUUGCAACUUGAUGAAAAGGUCACUUUGCUUGGAGUGGGUGCAUCUGCUUCGUAAUUGUUCUAAUAUCAAGCAGAGCUCCAUCACAACACUAAGUUCUUUUACGAAGGUUUUUUUUCCUUAAUACACUAUUGGUAAGGUUACCGGGAGUAAUUGUUCUAAAGGCAGAGAGCCACAGACCAAAGGAUGCUUGCACCUUAUUUAAUUUCACCAACCUCAGAUGCUCAGAGCUGCAUCCAAAAGAUGACAUCAGCGGGGCUCUGAGAAGAGGAACCUGACCAAUUCCACCUCGUCCAACUGGGGCGGGCCUGGGGCAGGGCAGGAGCAGCACAAACAGUUGGAUUUCUGGACCCUGUUGCUUAACGAAGUAUUGCUGAAUACUGACCAAUAUUCCCCUGAGCCUGCAGCAAGCUCUGCCCGCUCACUGCGAAGCACUCUGCAGGGAACCGUGCAAGGAAGCAGCGCCACAGGUGGGUCAAGGCCCGAGGAGCAGCCAGCACCAGAGAUCUGGGGCCACGGGGCAGCAGUUCUCACCAACCAGACCUGAAAAGCGAUGCCGUGUUACUAAUCCAAUUAUACCUUCCAUAACUUGCUGUGAGGGCAGUGGAAGCCUUUCAGCACGUGUAAAUCAGCAUUUAGCAGUGGGGACAACACUACUUUGACCACUUAGCCCGUUCUGGUACAGGCAACCUAUGUUCCUUCCCAUGCAAAGGGAACACGUCCAUCCCCUUCCUGGUCUCACUGUGCCCCUCUGGGGCAGAAUGGGGCCUGGGACAGGAGGAGAACCCCCUUAUCCUCUGCACUGCAGCUGUGCCAGACUGCAGUGAUCAGAGCAAGGAUCUGAAACUGAACCACUCAUCACUCUAAAACACGGCAAAAUUUUCUCAUUCUUACACAACUCAAACAUCCAGUGAACGUGUUUAAUUAAAACUUGGUUAUACAUUUUUUUUUUAAGAUUAAAAAAAAAAAAGAAGAAAUGAGCUAAUUAUAUUGCUUAAUAUUCUAAUAAGUUUUUGUUCUUGUUUUUAAAUAACACACUUUUUUAGCCAAGCCAAUCCCUUGAGGACUGCUUCCUCAUUUAUAAGGCAGUCCCCAGUGGGAGUUAAGAGGAGGCUAUUUUAUAUGAGGAAAAUGUGUUCUGAAAGAGGAGCCCUACAAAGAUAACCCCACAUCACAUACAUCAGGAUGGAGGCUAGAACACGUAUUCCAGUGAUGCAAAUCUUCCCCUGCAAUAAUUUGCUCAUUAGCAUUACCAAAAGCCCGGAUACUGAUGUCUAUGUAUUUGUUCUUGUAUUUUUCACCGCACUAAUGCUUUUAACUACAAUUAUUUUAAAAUUUUGCUUUAUUUAAUGAAUUUAAAGGUCAAUCCUCUUCCUUUCCAUAUGCAAAUCCUAUCAACAGUAGAGGCUUAAAAUUAAUGGGAGUUAAUAUACUAGAAGCUCCCUUCAUGCCCAAACCUCAUGAGGGAACAAAAUAACCUCAAGAUAAUUUCACCAAACUCACUGCUUUCUGCUGUUUUUGAGUCGCCAACCAGCCGCAGUACCCUGUGGGUGGGGAGAAGGGAUGGGAGGGCAGGUGGGAGCUGCCGGCACAGCUGCAGCUCUCUGACACACACACAGGUGCCACGUAGGAGCUGCAGGGUCUGACGGCAUUUUUUAACUACAGGUGUUGGUGUUACAACUGUGGCACAGGGAGGUGGGAAGGGAUGGCCAGCCCCAGUGCUUUUCCUCUGCAGGCCCUGAGGAAAACAUUCGCCAUGCCACUGAGAGCAGCUCGGCUGACACGACUCUGGCUGCCUCAGGCCGUACAGGGUCUGUCUGCCAGGCCUUUCAGGCAGCUGGGCCAGGUGCCCAUCAGCAGAGCACCGCCAGCCCAGAGCAUUUCUCUGUUGGUGGGGAACAGCAAAACCCCCGCAGUAAGGCUGGCCCUAGGCCUUGGUUCCUCGGGGACAGGACACAUGACAGGGCCAACUAAGGACCACAACCACCAAACUCCAGACCCGCAGCCUGACUGACCUGCUCCUGGUGUGCCAGGCCUUCUGCUCCCAGGGAUCGCAGAGCUGCCACUGGGAUGGGCUGCAGCAUUCUGAAUCCCCUCACAGAGCUCAGCAGUGGGUGCGGUGCAGACAAGGCUCAGGAGCUGAGCCCUCACAGUGCUGGCAGCACAGAUGGGCUCCCGCUCCUCUCACACUGGAGCAGAUAACAUCGCGCUGUCCCACGGCAUACAUUAAGGCCACCUCUUCCUUCCCAGCCCUGAUGUGGCCAAAGCGCUGGCAAGGGGAGGGCUGGAGGGCCGGCAGCACGCUGAGGUGAAGGCUCUGUGGUGCUGAGGAGGUCUGCGCCCUGUUCAGCCCUUAAGCUGGGAUCGCAGGCUGAUGGACGCUUGCAGCUUCCACUGACUUCUCUGCAAAGCAGAGAGCACAGUUAGGUCUUGUACUUGAAGUGCAUGACACAAUAAGACUUACCCAGCUUAUGCCUGUUGUGUGAGCGCUGAUCGCUCUGUUUCCAGCCGAAUGGCAAAGCUCUGUAAUUGUCCAGGUACGUCACAGGCUUGAGGUUUGCAUUUUUACAAACGUUGGGUGUAAAUUACUUCCACAAACAGGAAUCUGGACUCGGUGAAACAACACAGUUGUCUGCUAUAGCAAAUCUGGUGUUCCUGGAUUCAAAUCUGCUGGAGGCAUUCUGGAUUUUAAUUAAUAUAUUGCUUCAUAUGUAUGAGAAUUUCUCUUUCUGUUUUUUUUUUUUUUUCAUCUGUUUUCACACACUGCACUUCUAGUUUAAACAAAACGCAUUCUCUGCACUGCUCUCCAAAGCAAUUGAAUAAAUAUCACAGACUGUAUAGAUCCAGUAGCCUUUCCAGUGAGCAACACAGCAGUCAUGCUUCACAGAAAAGGGAUAACAUCCGAGAGUGCAGCUGAUAAGAGCAACAAUUUACAAAGCAAGAGAUCUGUUAUGCAGUGAAAGCUUUAUUACCAUGACUUGACGUUACGUCUCCAGCACAUAAGGGUUAAUCAUGGCAGCAGUUUGCAGCUGGCUGCGCUCUCGGGGGAGCCAUAGCGAUAGACUUCUGUGUGCAAGACAAGGUCAGCGCCGCUCCCUGGGGUCAGCCGGCCCCGCGAUAACACAGCUCCCAAACUUUGGCCCCAAGGAGACACAGGUGCCAAACCCAUUUUGUGGUCUGCUGUAGAGCGCUUCUUGUGGUUUUUCUUCUCCUCGAUAAAAACACAUACAUAGCUCUGUGGUAUAUAAUUGGACAGUGAGUUUUCAGAGCUACCCAUCAGCGGGAGUUUUCUGUGGCAGCAGUGGGUUUGUGAGCUGGCCGGGUACAUGUAACAUUUCACGGGAGACUUACUCUUAGUGGACUGAUAAAACAAAGCAGGCAGUGCCGAGUGUAAGGGCCAAAUCCUGCCUAAUUUGUGCAGGAUCAUUGUUUAAAAUGCUCAAAGGGUAAAGGAAACAGAAUUGGACUUCAACAUUUUAUUAAUGUUUAUCUUCUAUUGCUACAAGACACAACAAUAAUCAAAUAAGAAAAACUUUAAUCCUCAAAUGCAGCUUUAAUCUUCAAAUUGGUUAGCUUAUCAGAGGGGUAACAUUUAUUUCCAAAGACAGACUGCUCGGAAGGAUUGGCUGAAAUGGAAACCUGUAAGUGAAAGGAUAUAAGUUUAUUGGGCAGUGUUGUCUAUAUUUAUAGUUUCUGCUCAACCCGUAUUUCUGUUUUUAUAUGCAUGUGUCAAAAAUUAAUAUACGGCAAACUUCACCAACAGUUUUAAGAGAUCCUAAAAUAUAAUAAAAUCAAUAAAUGAUGUUCUGGCAUAAACGUUUCUGUAGCUGAGGGUGGUCAGGUUCAAAGGGCAACAUCUGACCAUUUCUCUUUCCCACCCUGCUGUGGAGUAGGACCCUCCCCUCAACUUCAAAUCACUGGGGAGAGGGUAAUUUAAGCUAUACUUGAUGUACCCUAUACAUCACUGUCUUCAGGACCAGGUUUAAAAUUAAACUCUGAUGUACAAAGUUAAACAAAAAUGAGAUAAAAAUUGGCAGGGGUUGAAGAGGGUCAAACUAGUCAAAACACAAGGUAGACUAUUGCUUCUUUUGAUUUAUGUUAUUCCGUGCACAAAAAAAAAAUAAAAUUAUACCUCUCAUGGAGACUUUUUUCAUUGAGAAUAACGCAUUCCUAAUUUGUUUUCUAUAGACUUACAGGGCAUUUACUGUAGGAGAGGGAAGCAUUUAUUUAUUUAUUUAUUUAGUUUGGCAGGGACAGAAUAUCAUCAGCUGCUGGCAGAAUAUUGAAAUUAUCAUUAAGUGCGACCUUUGUCACUCAGCAGCAAGUGAAAGAGAACAGUGUUUCACUUUCUGUUAGUGGUUAUCUUAUAAUGCACGCACAUAUAGGCGCAUAAUCACAGAAUUUAGCUUUGAGGCAACUCUUUUAAACGCAAACAACGUACUACAGUCACAUUUGGUAACAGAAAGAAGGAGUUCAGUGAACGUUUCCUUUCUCAUGUUUUACAUGCACAUAAUGCAGUUACCCUCCAGAAAUUCAGUACAGGAAAGAUGCCAAAUGGAGGAUUCUUUUGAAACCAAUUCAAGAAAAUCCUUGCAGGAAGUUAAUUUUUUAUGAUGUAGUCAACUUUUCCACAUAUUGCCAUUUAUAUGGUUAGUGUGUGGACUGCAGGCAAAGUAAUUCGGAAUUGUAAUCUUUAUUUUCUCUAAUACGAUAAUGAAAUCAACUACUAUCCGCUGGAAUCAAAUGAUUUUUUUUCUGUGCUACUCCAGUGAGAGGAAUACAGGAAUUCUGCUGCCUAAACUGCCUCGCUAAUGGGAAAAUGAAGAAAAAUCAAGUUCUCAGACAGCUAGUAAAUAAAAAAGUCCUCAAUUUAAGCAUGCAGGUUGACAUGUAAAGAUGUUGGAAUCUUUUUAAAGCUGAUUAGGCAAGGGGUUUGUUUUAUUGUUGCUUUUUUUUUUUUUCUGGAAAGUUUUUAAUUUUACUAAGAAAAAGUCCUAUUGAUUCUAUAUGGAUUACAGCUGGCUGGAGUUGGCUCGUUCUUUCUUGGGUUGCAUGAGGGCAUUGGUCCACAAAGGGAUCUAAGCUUUAAAAAUGCCUGAGCUUGGUUUUAAAUCUAACAGGAGAAAAACACUGUUGAGACAAUGAUAAAAGAAGAGUUUUUAAAGUGCUGUUUGAUUAACAUUGACAAUGAAGAUUCUCUGUUAAUUUACUGAGGGCAUACCUGCCAUUUAGUAUGCAGAUUUUAGUCUUUCAAUAAGUCUAAGUGAUGCACUGUAUAAAAUACAUUUUAUAUGUGUGAUGUUACAGGACUGAUCUGCAUAUAUGCCUUUAAUAUGCAUGAUUUGGCAAACAAUUUAUGUAACAGCUAAUGAACGCAAUUUUUCCCGGACACCUGAUUGGGAAGCUGAAAGUGAAAUAGACAUAAAACCAGCAAAUCGUUUUAAUAGGAAUAGCAAGCAAAGAUAAAGAUCAAAUGCUAUAACGGGUCCAUUAUAUCACUCAUAGUCUAGUGUGCCAAACCCUCUGAGUUUAACAGCAAUAUUUUUUCUCCUAUCAGUGAAGACAUUUUCAAAUAUCUGUUUUGUUUUGUUUGUUUGUUUCAAAUCUUGUGGGGUCACAGAGAGAACUAGACACGCUCUCUGUAACUACAGCAGAAUGCGUGCAGCAAAGAGCAGAUGCAGGAGCUAGUUGGUUAGGAAAAGAUGAUACAAAAUUUUUCUUUCUCCUUUACACUUUAGGAAUCAGGAGAUCUAUGAAUUAAGGAGAUGGUCACAAAGGUGACAAGGAAGUCCCACAGUAUUCACGUACAAUGAAAAUGCUUUGAGAACCUGCAGGGUUUUAGAAUGAAGGUUCAAACAGAACAGGAGCUACUCUGAGGCCAAUAGCUGGUCAGAAAGCAGGUGAAGAACAAUAAGACACAAAUAAAUUAAAAAGAGGGAGAACAUCAGCUGUUAGACAUACAAGUAAUCCUUUAAAAAUCAUGUGCUCAGCCUGUGACACGAGAGAUGAACUGAUUGAUUCCUCCUUGCACAAGGCAGCUGGCUGGGGGAACUGUUCCAUGUCCCAGCUGCUCACUGAUUCCACUGCCUCACCCAGUCACCCAAGACUGUGAUGUGUCAAGGCCCCUACGUGUGCUGGUCCUGUGAGGGCUUAAUUCAGAGCUCAUCAAAAUCAAUAGGAAGAUUUCCACUGGCUUUGAGGUAGAUUUUGUUAGACCUUUUCCAUCUACACAGCUCCAAGAGAGGUUUUCAUUUUGAUGUAAAUAUAUAUUGUCCGGUUUUUUACUGUACAGUAUUUUUAUGGAAUGAAAUUUGCUCGCCAACAUCUAUAAAUACUCUAAUUAUUAACAACAUUUCUUCAAUCCUUGUUUUAUCAGGAAAGCAAUCUCACCAGAACCUUCUGUGUCCAGUACAUUAACUCGCUCAAGCACUCGAAAGGUACCAUGCUCUGAGCAACAGUAAAGAACUGAGCCUAUAAUUUAAUAACCCUCCUUCUGAGUAAUUAGUAUUCACUCAAUGAAAUUCAGGCUUUGCAGAGGUCCAGUCAAAGGCCUAAGCACCAUUUAAGUCCAGCUGACUCCCUAGGGCAUCUCUGAGCUGAAUUGGGCCCCAUUUUAUUAAAUUAUAAUAGAAAGACUGCCAUGUCAAGUAUUCCAAUGCUGAAAGACCCAACCCCACAAGACCUCACACGGAUAAGUAAUCAUCACUUAUGCUAAUAGCACAUUUGACUUCCGUGGGAUGACACAUGAGGAUGGACUACUUACUUGACUAAGAUUAGUAAGAACGGGCAUGUUACACAGAACAAAUGACUUCUAAAUACCCAGCUGCAGCGAAGUGCUGACUCCCAUCAGUGAGUGCUGUGAGGGUGAAUGAAGGGCAGGAUAUGAUCUUUAGAAGCCUCGCUGAGUGCAGUUUCUGAAUUGGUGACAGUUUUGCAGAUUUCUAACUCAUAAUAAACCUCAGCUUUGUCUCCUCAGUUACAAGCUUCUCUCUGCCAUUCCUCUGUCCUACUUUCCUUUUCUUUUGCCAUAAUCCCACAAUUGUGUUUUUUUUCCCCACUCUUCUUUAAUAUUUGCAAGUGAAUUUAGUGUUUUGGAACACAUUUAAACAACAAAGUCACAAAACCACGAAUGCUCCUAUUUACCAGCAGAGCACACUGCUUGGUAGUAUUUCUCAAUUGCUCUGAAUGUCCCACCCCUCUCUUCUGCUGGGAUCAGUGCAGCCUCUAUGCUCAUUGGCUUCUCCCUUCAAACCCGGUGAUAAAGGCAUCAUACUGGGUUUGUCAGUCUAGUGAUUUGUCUGAAAAAAUGCCUAAGUGUUAGGGCAUCUGUUGAAUACUUUUUUUUUUUAAUGCAGUCACAGGAAUAAACACAUUUCUGCCUUUAUGCUCUACAAGGCAUUUGUAGCAACAUCCUAGAAAGAAAAAUCUUUGCAUCUCACCUGCCUCAGUUUCACUUAUUUCACAAAUUCCUUCUGGCACAGCUUUACUUUCCUAAUUUUCUUCCACUCAAUUAAAAACAAUUUCAUAGCAUUCUCUAAUGCAGAUCUUACUUUAAAAUAUAUAUAUAUAUAUAUAUAUAUUUUUUUUUUUUUUUGCCCUCUACCACUGGCUGGAGAAGCUUUAUCUGAAAGUAGUAUUGUUGUCAUCACUGGUGACUGGCUUCUAAGGGUAUUUACAAAUCCAGAAUUAAUUUGUUCCUAAGAUCUAGGCAAAAAUAUAUAUCUGGUAGAGGAUUUAUAACUAGUAUACAGAAUUUAUCCAAUACCAAAUCCCAAAUCCAAAAUGAUAUAACCUAAUCACAAAGGAAACCUUAGAACCCACUUUGUUUGACCUAUAUUGUAGAAAACCAUAAGGCAAAGACGAUAAUAUUAUAUCAUUAGCAGUACUCUUCAAUGAGUAUUUUCCAUUUUCUUGCAGGCUUCUAGCUCAGCUGUAACAACUGCUCUGUUUGUGUGUGCCUGUGUGUUUUGCCAAUCACGAGUGAAAUAAAAAUGCCCUAAUUUCUGCAACUCUGCUUUCAUUACUCUGUAAAGCACUAAAAGCAGAAACAGUUUCCUGAAGAACCCCUUCAUAGCAGGCCCUUGAACAAGAUGACUGUUUCUAAUAAGCAACAGCUGUCGUUGUGGUUUUACUAGUCAAAUGAUUCAUGUCUUUUGCUCAGAAAUGAUAAGUGGAACAAAUGUUUACUUAGAUAUGUAACAGAGGAACAAUUGAAAAAUAGUAGACUGUCAAAUAGAAAUAUUUUCCUGUUAUCUGAUCCUUAACAAUUAGCCCGAACUGGUUUUAAGUCAGAAGGCAGCAUUACAGCAGUGCAGUCAGCAUUGGUAAAGAGUUUAGCUCAACAGUUUUGCAAACAGAAUUCAGCAGGCUGUGUUGGAAAUGUUUGCCAUGGCCUUGAAGGUCUGGGGGCUGCAAGCAGCUCUGUGCCUGCUGCCACCCACCCUCAGUCCUGGCAAUCUCCCCUCCUACCUUCAGUCAUCUUCAAAAGGAAGACAGUGAACUUUCCACUCGGUUUAUUUUGUCUUCAGGGAAUAUCAACGCGCUUCUCCACUGCUUGGUCUUGAGUGAAUACCCCCUGCUUGCUACCGCUUCCCCAGGAUUGCAGUGUCUGCUGGGAAGAGCAGAGGAAAAGUACUCUAAUGCAAGAGAUUCCAGGCUACGUUCAAGGACAAAACAAUUGCAUUACUCCUUGGGUGCUUGGAAGGAGAAACUAAAGGACCUUUGGUGUCUCUCUGCUGUGCCUGGAAGCUGCUGCAGUCAGAGAGAUGUGAUACUGCUGUGGCAUCUCAGGGCCAGAGGAUGAAUUGAUCACCUCCCUUUCCUAUUCACAGUCUUGUCCCUUGAUUGGACUACCAGAAACAUCCAGGAAUUGCCUUGUAAGUAGUACCUACACUCGUCAUUUCUUUAAAAUCAGAAACAACAAAAGAAACGCAGGGAAGAGCAAAAAAGAGAAAGAUUUAUUAUUUCCUCUAAGGAUUAUCAGAGCUCUGAGUGUUGGGAAAAGGCUGUUUAGUAAACUGCUCCUUUGUCCUCCCAAGUUCCAGGAACUUGAGCUCUGUAUUUGGUUUCCUUGUUGCACGAUCUGUGAGCAGCUUUAUAUAUUUAUUUUGCAAAAGCCUUUUAUUACUGUUUUAAAAUGUGGAAUUUAAUGUACUUGAAAACUAUCUUAGUAUCUCGAUGGUGGAUGCUAUGCAAAUAUAGUAGACAGUUGUGUUAUAGGAAAAUUAAUAGCAACGAAGAAAAAGAACAAAAACACCCCCUGCUGAGCAGAAGAGAACAGACCAGAACUGGCAAAGGAAAAUUAAUGGAGAUAAAGGAAAAAGAAUUACUGUGGGACUAUAUAAAACAUGAUCUUGAAGCACAAGCCAUGUCUCAGUCCUCAGCUGAGAAGAGUACAAGAAUCCUGCUGGAGAGCUGUUUUUAGGAGGACAGCUUAAAGCUCUCCAGCAAUGUAUAUAAGCUAGAACAUCAGCUGCAUCCUUUGCCAAGCAUCACAAAAACUUUACACCCACUAAAGGUCCAUUUUUGGGCCAACAGUGAUAAAGCAUGUAAUCACAAAAAUCUCAAAUCUGUCAUUUAACAUCUACAUCAAUCAAUCUAGAUAGCUAAAACAACACCAGAUUCAUCGCUGUGCCAUGCCAUGCCAUGCACUACUCUUAGGUGGAUUCUCAUUUAUUCUAAGCUGUAACCUGUUGAGUUUUCAGCAUGACAUAGAAAAACUAUUUGGUUUUCAAGCAAUAUACCUCUCACUGCUGUUUCAGACUUCUGCAGGCUCAGACAGAUGGUUCUGCUCUGUCUACACCUCUGCAGAAAUGUGGAGUAGAAAUGUUUAUUCAAAAAGGGAGGAGAGAAGAAAGCUGCACACAAUUCUGUGCUUAGCUCUGAAUUAUCCUGCAAGCCAGGUAGUCUCAGGGGUUAGAGAAUCCAAGGGACUCUGCUUAUGUAUGCCAAAGUCCUGGAUUUUAUGGUGAAAAUAAAUAGUGAGAGCUUUUUCCAGCAAGUGAGCACUGCUAUAUUGUUUUCUUGUUUGUUUUUAAAUUUUUAAAAGGUAAAAAAGUAAAGUGAACAACAACAUUGGGUUGAACAAUGCAAAAUAGAUUUGCUCACUUUCAAAUACUCCUCUCCUCGCUCUCCACACAACUAUCUUUCAAAGCCUGCUGAUGAAAUUAUGAAAUCCUUACUGUAAUUUCAUGUUCACUGUGUAAGAAUUUAAAGACCCUACGUUUUGGAAUUCUCAUCCACUGAGAAAUGGGCAUUCUGUAACUCCCUGUUUCCUACUUUUGCUUACAGGGGUAUCUACAGAGGAGCUGGGCCCAUUCUGCCCAUUUUGUACCUAUGCCACAGUACAGUUGCCAGCAAUCUAGGAAGCAGCCUGAAGCAGUGUGGUUUUUUCCAGUCCCAUAUUCUUAGGUGUACUUAUGUGAAAGUGAACUGUACAGAUCAGUUCUGAUAUUUCUGUUUUCCUAAGCUGAAAAGAAAAAAAACCAACAAAACAACAAAGGAACUGAACAACCUUUCCUUUUUGUUUGCAUGCACAGCUGUGAUGAUUUUCUGUUAAGGGAAGCACUUUUGCACAUUUCCACAGGAGUCCUUAGGUACCUUCUGAGGAAUCCAUCCUCUAGGAGCAGAAAUACAGUAUUUUGUCCAGGGCAAAAGACAGAAGCUAACAACUUCUUUUUUUUUUUUCUAUUUUGCAUUUUUAAUAUGUACCAAAUAAAUAAAUAAAUAAAAAUUAAAAAAAGAAAAAAAAGAGAGAGAAAAAGAGAUUAAAAAGGAGAAAAGAUACAGCCCAAAUUGUCUAUACAGUUCAUAACUGAAAUAUUCAGCCUUGUUCAAGUGCCAGCCACCUGCAGUCACAGGAAUUAGUCCUGAUCUAUUCUUAAACACACCCAUGUUCUAAUGACUCUUUUUAGCAACAUCAGAAUUCACAUUAUUUGUAUUCAUUUAUAUUUUUAUAAUCUGUGGAAGCACUUGCACACCUCUGGAUUUAAAAACAAGCCCUGCAGCAGACCAUCUGCACUUAGAAGCUGAUGGCCAAACCCAACUCCAGCUGAAGCCAGGGGAAAUUCUGACAUUCAUUUUAAUGGUGAAAUUAUAAUCUGGUCAAACUACAGUAAAGGGUAAGAUGAUUUGCUUAGGGAGGGAUGAGGGUUGGCUUUGUCCCUGUCAUCAACCACAUGCUGGCUGAUUUAAGAAUGAAACUUGGACCUGUUCACAGAGGUAAUCAAUCUUUAGAUCAGAGCCUCUUGUUCAGCUAGUCUAAGCAUUGGGACAAACAGAAAAACAGCAACUCUUAGAGAACAUGAGAAUGUCCCAUGCUUUAGUAUCUUGUCCUCCAAAAACUAAGAAAAAAGAAAACCACCACCAACAAACAGGGAGCUGAUCAGCAUAUGCUUCCUUCUGUAACUGACAGAGUGAGGCUGGUAAAUAGCAAGCACAAAUUUUACAAUUGCAUAACACUUACAUUAGGAAUGUAAUUCUCUCUAAGUCUGUAGUACAUACGAAUUUUCCAAAUUUCUGAUGGAAGAGGACUGGGGAGAAAUCCGACCCGUGCUCAGCAAAGACUUUUCCCGUCCCCUCAUGCAGAGACCCCAAGCAGUACAGGCCUGGUCCUCUGCAGUCCCUGCCCUGCCUCUGCCUGCUGCCCUGCUGCAGGGCUGGGAGGGAAGUCCAGGGCGGGUGGGCUGUCCCUAUGAACCUCAGCAACUUCCAUAGCACAGCACCAUGAUUCAAAGCCUUGAGCCACGGGCUCUCUUGACUGCUGCUUAGUACAUGCCUGGACAUUUACAGCCCAUAGCCUUUCACAAAAAGCCUGACAGAGGCCCAAAGCAGGUAAAUUACUGUUAGCCAUAGAAGCAUUCCUAAACAGAUGAGGGUGUGAGCUAUGCAAAUAUUUACCCUAUAAAUCUGUUGUGUGGCUUGGGAGUAAAACAAAAAGCCACUUAAAAAUUUCCUCCAAAUUUGGCCAUAGCAUAGUUGUGCUAGUUCAAAGAAACAGAGUCAACUUUAUUGUUAUUAGUGCUUGGAUCAAAGAAAAUUAUGAAAAUAAACAUUAGACAGAAUGAUAAUCAACACUGGAAAAGAAAUGUUUACUAAAGAUUUUCUUCUGUGUUCUCUUACCAGAAUUAAUAAUAUUUUCUUUUUCUAAAGUUUUCUUGCUUCCUUCAAAGAGAUUGAUUUCAGUAGAAAGAACAAACAUAUGCAAAUAAACUGAAUGAUGUUAUACCCCCUGCCCCUACCCCCCCAAACUGCAUCAGAUAAUUCCAUAUUGUUAGUCUGCAUUACAUUUUUAUCAGUUUUUUGUCUUAAUCAGAUAUGAAGCUCUUGCAGUACAUCUCUAGAACCGAGCCGUGACCCUGAUGUGACUCUACAGCACAGAAGCAGCCUUAACCCUGCUGUAAUCUAAUAGUUCAAAUUUAACGGAUUUGUUUUUUCAGUGGAAAUAAUGGCUUCCUGUCACAAAACAGAGCCACAGAUUACAUAUCUGACAAAUGGCUUUGGCAUGAUUUUUUCAUGUAACACACAAUUAACAGGGCUUUCGCAUAAGACCUCAUGGUUUACAGAUCUGGUGAAAUCAUUAAUAAGUUCAUUACUGUGUAUUUUCUUCUUGAAAAAAAAUCAACAUUUCUGCUGGUGCUUUAAAAACAAAUAAUACUUUGCUUUGAAAGAGUUCACCUAUGCUUUGCAGUGUUCAUUUAGCCUCAAAAUACUGUACUGAAAUUAUUAUCCAUGAGCGUUGAUGUAUUUGGUUUCUUUUCAUGAGGCAUAUAAUUAUUAUUGAUAACCCCAAACGUAAACAAAGUAAUCUUGAUUUUAUAAGCUACCAUCCAUAUAGAUGCUGAAAAUUUCCACAUUAUAGCUAUGAUUGUUUUUUGCUUUGCCAUAAUCCCUUAAAUAUUACCAACUAACAGCUGAACAAUAAGUGAGGAUAUGUACAGCUUUUCCAUGGACAGCACUGAAUACUCUGAAGGAGACUAUCGUCUUAUUCUUGCUUUUGAAGUUGCAGUUCAGAACUGCUCGAGCCGUGUUGGUUGGUUAUCCUCAGCCCACCCAACCACCAGCCCUACACUGCUGUUUGCUGCUAGCUCCUGGCGCUUACAAUGAGGUAAUCAUCACCUUGUAGUUCAUUGGUGUGAAUGCUGGUCAGAUGGCCUGUAUUUUAUUAACAGAAAUAGGGUCACAAGUCAAAUACAUGCUUGGGGUCAGUGAACAAAUACAAAAGAAGAUUAGAAGAACAAAAGAAUGUGACUGGAGGGGUAAAGUCCCACUGGGGGUUAAUCGAGCAGAAAUGUAUCAAAGAAUGUAAACUGCCCUUUCUUUUGUUAUUCAUCCUACACGACGGAGUUCCUAUGUCCUGCUGAUUUCGGUUAGAUAGAGCAUCAUCUCCAGAACGCUAUCUUUUAAUGAGCUUUCUGCAUGCAGCCUUAUGGAAGGACUCCCACCACACACUAACACUACUUUUAGUAUAAUAACACCAUCAUUACUAACAACAAUAAUUAAAAAUGCCCAGCAUAAACAUGUGAAUUACAAAGAUUUGCUUCACCUAAUAUUGUACUAUGCAGACUGUCUUUAAAAAUAAGAGAAAAAUAGCACACAAUGUCAUGUUUCUGGGAUUCUGUUCUGCCCGCAGGACCAAGAAUCCACAAUUACACUGAUUUAGCUCCCUCUUUCAAAGCAAAUGAAUUAAUAAAAAUUUAUCUGAGACGACACUGUAUUGCUAUAGUUUCUGUCUUUUCUAAGAAAGACUAUCCCUUCAAAAGGCAGAACAACAAAAAAAGGAACUAGCUUCCCCGAUUUGUACCAUAAGUACUGGACUUGGUAGGGCCCAAACGGCAGCAGUCAAGAAAAAUCAUAGGGUACUUAGCAAGCGGCAGCUGAUUUGCUCUUCUGAUACAUGUUCAUCGCUCUUUCUGUGACAAGAAGCAGAAUAUUCUGCCUUAUUUGAGCUAUGCACAUUUGUCUAAUUCUUUAAAAUCCCAGCAGUAGAAAGAUUCCCUUUUCAUCAAUUUCCAUUUAUUAUGCUUGUAGCUACAUAUUGUAAUGUGAAUUCUUCUACCCAUGUAUGCUGCAUAUCUAUAGAUUUUAUGUUUCCGCACAUCACAUGAAAAGCAUAUUUCAAAACUAUUGCAUUACC